UGCCUCAUCCAACCAUUAGUGAUAGAGCUCCACCGCUUGAACUUUUCUCCUCCAAUCUUUGUACAAAUUCUCCUUUGACUGUCCCAAGAGCACCAGUGUUGCAGUCUCACAAGAACAAAAGGGCUCGUAGCUUUAUUUGAGGGUGAGCUCUUUAUGUAUUUGUUUUUAGUUUGGAUUGGCGUUUGUGUGAGAAACUGGAAGUUGGGAGAAUUUGUUUGGCUGGUGAUUUUGGAGAUAACGGUGGAUAGCUAGAUUGAUGUUUUGGAAUCAUUGAAUUUGGAAAGGUAUUUGGCUGUGGUGUUUAACAGGAAACAAGGACAGCAAUGGUCUCUUUGAGUAUUGGUUUUGUGUUCGGUUUUGUAGGAUCUAAGGGCAGAAACAAGAGUAACCGUUCUGUCAUAGUAACCAGUGUCUAAGUACCCAGAGAACCAGAACCAUAGUAUCCAGAUCAUAGUAACCAGAGAACCAUAGUAACAGGUAGCCAAAGUAACCAGUAUCCAUGAAGGAUUUCAAAGUCUCCAUAGUGUUAGUAUCCAAAGUAACCAAGUACAGCAGAGGCCGUCCGCGAGGGGUAUGAAGGCAAUGAUGCCUCCAUCAACAGAACAUAAAGAGAGCUGCGCAAAGAGAAAGAGAAUUUGCCAUCCGAACCUUGUAAAGAAUGAACCGCUCCUUUGUGAUUCUCCUUGCUUCCUUCUCCCGUUGUUGUUUUUUCUUCUGUCGUUCUCCUCUCUCGUCCUCUGCCUCUCCUCCUCUUUUUUUUGAAGGUAUUGGCCUCUUUUUUUUUACAUAUGUAUAAGAGUUGUCACAAAAACAACUUUUAUACAACAAAACAUCUAGUCUUGUAUUCUACCUAAAAUAUAAAUGCUCUAAUUGUUUUGAUUUGUAAGAUUCAAGAUGUAGAAGAAAAGUCAAAAAUGGAGGGCAAAAAAUUAUUUACCGAGAGAGAGUCUAUCUAAAAAAAUCUAAAUUACAUGUUUCAGAAUAAAAAAAAAGAACAAAAAAAAACACUGUUCAUAUGCUUAUGAUAUGAACAGUUAACCACUCUCCCUCUCUCUGAGAUUUUUUGAAGCCCUAAAACUAAUCAAACACAGAACUCAGAGAAAGUGAUCCUCACCCUAGUAAUCGCAGUUAUUUCACGCAGAGGGGUUUUAGGGUACCAAGAAGGCAACACACUGUUCGAUCUCUGUCCCCUUCUCCGGCUAAGACCUCUGACCGGCGGCGUAUUCUCUCUGGCGGGAGUCAUCAUCCCAAACGCACUAUGUGCAUGCUCGAUUCCGGUACUCGGAGUCCUCAAACUGCUCGGUGCCACUCCACCGCCUGUCUCCCAAAUCCCUAGAGGCCGCUCAGUCAUCGGAGUAACCGCCUCCCUAAGGCUCCUCGGCUCUGGACGAAGAACAGAGAGCGGAGAGAAAAAAAGGGAUUGAACUGAUCAUUCAAGGAAGCGAUCUCUCUUCUCUUUUCGAAAAGGGCAGAAACGAAGAGGGAGAGGACGCAUAGAGACGAAGAAAAGACGAUUCGGUGGAGUUUCGAGAGAGAUCGAGAGGGAGCAGGAAAAAAAUCAGAAUACGGAGACGCAGGCCCAAGCCCGAGCAAGAGACCAGGGAGAAAAGAAAAAAGCCCAAGCCUAACUGUCACUGUUCACGGGAACAGUAAAGCGACAU